AGCGAACGCUGGCGGCAUGCCUAACACAUGCAAGUCGCACGGGGGGGCUUCGGCCUCCCAGUGGCGGACGGGUGAGGAACGCGUAGGGACCUGUCGAGGGGUGGGGGAUAACCGCGGGAAACUGCGGCUAAUACCGCAUGACGCCGCGGCGUGACAGCCGGGGCCAAAGGCGAAAGCCGCCCGCCGAGGGGCCUGCGUCCGAUUAGCUGGUUGGCGGGGUAGCGGCCCACCAAGGCGUCGAUCGGUAGCUGGUCUGAGAGGGUGAUCAGCCACACCGGGACUGAGACACGGCCCGGACUCCUACGGGAGGCAGCAGUGGGGAAUAUUGGACAAUGGGCGCAAGCCUGAUCCAGCAAUGCCGCGUGGGUGAAGAAGGUCUUCGGACUGUAAAGCCCUUUCGGCGGGGACGAUGGUGACGGUACCCGCAGAAGAAGCCCCGGCUAACUUCGUG
rnacentral:rRNA from 1 species